UCCCCUCCCCUGCCGUCCCCUCUCCUUUCACACAGAAGGCACAAGCACCCACGCACGCACAAGGUGCUGAGAACUGAGGGAAAACCAGAGCGGUUCCUUGCUCUUCAUGCCUCAAGAAACACCGUGCCCUUCAUCCGCUUCACCUGCUCUUCCUGAGACUUCAGUCACCUUCCCCCUGGCCUCAGCCCAUAGAUAGAGAGCCUCAAAAUCCAAUGCACGGAGAGCUAGCCCAAGGCUCCUCAACGUUGAUGCCAAGAAGUGGAGCCUGGACAGGAGGCCCAGGACCCAUCAUUCCAUAGGAAGUGGCACCUUGCCUUCCAUCUGGAGACACGGGAACUUAGACCUCCAGUGCUACAGACUUUUGGAGUUUUCUACGAAUAUCUGGCACUGACCAUGUUAAAAAUUUAACUUUGAGGAGAACCUCUUCCACCUGUGACUCUGGGUCCACUGUGCUAUGCUUUCUGAUAGUGUCCUUAAGAUGCUAUAGAAAGGUAAGGGGGGUUUCUUCAAGGCCUUGUUGUACUGUAGUCACCUGGGAAUAGUUUAGAGGUUUGACUUUGGUCCUUUUUAGCCCUUCCACUAUGAGAUGGAUUAAGUGUUGAUGCCAUUUAUCC